GCCGGGCACGGUGGCUCAUGCCUGUAAUCCCAGCACUUUGGGAGGCUGAGGUGGGUGGAUCAUUGGAGGUCAGGGGUUCAAGGCUAGCCUGGCCAACACAGUGAAACCCCAUCUCUA
ensembl:misc_RNA Metazoa_SRP Metazoan signal recognition particle RNA